GUGGGGAAUCUUGCACAAUGGGCGAAAGCCUGAUGCAGCCAUGCCGCGUGAAUGAUGAAGGCCUUAGGGUUGUAAAAUUCUUUCGCCAGGGAUGAUAAUGACCGUACCUGAAGAAGAAGCCCCGGCUAACUUCGUGCCAGCAGCCGCGGUAAUACGAAGGGGGCUAGCGUUGUUCGGAAUUACUGGGCGUAAAGCGCACGUAGGCGGACUUUUAAGUCAGGUGUGAAAUCCCGGGGCUCAACCUCGGAACUGCAUUUGAAACUGGAAGUCUUGAGAUCAGGAGAGGUUAGCGGAAUACCGAGUGUAGAGGUGAAAUUCGUAGAUAUUCGGUGGAACACCAGUGGCGAAGGCGGCUAACUGGACUGAUACUGACGCUGAGGUGCGAAAGUGUGGGGAGCAAACAGGAUUAGAAACCCGGGUAGUCC
rnacentral:rRNA from 1 species